ensembl:lncRNA
UUUGUUUUUCUUUUUUUUUUCUUCUUUUUUUGCCUGAUGAGGUUUGAGUAAUGAAAUGAUUAACCCGUCGUUUAAUAGUUAUUUUCUCUUCUCCAUGUCCUUUUGUUUUUGGUUGAGCUUUGGUGUAGAGGGUGAGGGAGGGUUUGGGGUGGGAGUUGAGGGUUUUUGGGCGUAACUAGAUUUCCAUUUUUACCCGGUUUCAACACAGGUGCCCGUUCCGUGCUUGGGGGAAAAAAACAGUUACUUCUCUGUGAAUGACAUGUUGUAAAAAUCAAUGUUUGAAAAUAAUGAUAUUGAAAAAAAAAAACUUUUUAAGUUAAAAAUUAAAAAAAAAAAACUUUUAUUUUGGUUGUCUGCCAUGAGUGGGUUAACUCUUAGAAUCGCAUGCUGUAGAAUUGCUUAAAAAGAGGUGCAUAUGGAAAGUCCUUUGAUGUUUUUCUUUAAGAAAAUAACCUGUUAAAUAGAUCAUCACAAUGAUAUUUAUAUUCUUUUUUUUCCUCUUCCUUUUGCUACUCUGUGCAUACAUAAUUCAAUUAAACCCGCAAAGCUAUGCACUCAAGAGAAGCAAACACAUUGAUUGACCUGUUCUAUCCAUAUCUUGGAGUUUCUAAAACACUCGUACGCCGACCCUCUCUCUCUCUCUCUCUCACACACACACACACAGACACAAAACACACUCAAACUAGAACAAAAAUUUUCAUUCUUUCUGUAGCAAGACGAAAAUUCCAGAUACAAAGAAAAGAAUGCUAGAGACAUUUUGUAACAGGUUUUAAUGUCCUUUAAUAAAAAAAAAAGAAAAAAAAAACUUGCAGCAUUUGAAUGGCAGAAUUUUUCUGUUGUUCCUUUCUUCGUGUAACGAGAGGCGCUCUUUCCUUAGCGGUAGUGGCAUUUCUUCCAUUCUGUUCUCCCUCUGCGACAUUCUGUACAAAAAAAAGUGCUGUCGUUGUGCAUUAGGCCUGGAGUUGGCAACAAAAAUAAAUAAAUAAAACAUACAAAAAAAAAUUAAGAGAUUAAAUCAAUUACUCUUUUCUCCCUCUCUUUCUGUCUGUCUCUCUUCAUACAAAUAACUGUAGAGCUCUGCACACCCCCACUGUAUCCUUAUUCAUCUUUUGUAUUUAAUUUUAAAUUCAGUGUACAACAGAAAGCUGGAUGCAAGAUAGAAACUAUAUUAAAAUGUACUGUUAUUUAAGAUGUAAUAAAGCAGUUUGAGAUGAGCUUUCAGAGUCGGUGCUGUUUAUAAGGAUGUACUCGGGUCUUUAAAAGGAAAAAUCCACCCUGAACGCUUUUUUAAUCGACAUGUUACCUUCAGUUGUGUUCGAAAUUUUUGUAAUUACCUUGUGAGUUGACUUUUUUAAGUUUCAGAUUCUUUCACCAUCAUGGUGGUCUGUUUUCACUUAACAGGUUCCUACAUUACCCGCAAUGCCUUUGGACUGCCUGCUGAUAGUGAUGCCAGAGCCCUUGCUUCAUUUCUACGUUGUUAAAAAAAACAAUCAAAGUAUAAAAGGCGUUGCAGCGGCGCUUUACUUCAUUAAUCUGUCCAGUUCUCUCACCUCCUCUGUACACUCUGCUCAAACAGAUCAGCUUCCAAAGCUUUUAACUUUCAUGCUAAUACCAUCAACACCAUCACGCACUCAUCUCGUAUUUCACUAACUAGCACUCCGUGUAACUUUGUUGUAUUGCUGCAUAUUGGAAGGCCAGUGUUUUCUGUCUCAGCUUCUUAUACAUUGGAUUUUUAAUUAAUGACUAUGAACCAUGGUGGCAAAAGAAGCUCUCGUGUUUUUGUUUUUAGGAGCUUAAAAUUGCAUUAGCCUUGAGUUCUCGCAGGAAUAACGAGAAUGCAGCAUCAACCAACCAAUUAGUGCCAGAAUCGCUAAGCACAUCGCAAAUAUUUCAAUAUUAACAUUAACUGUGUUUCAGGAUGGAGUUUUCCUUUAAAUAGGUAAGUUUUAUUUUUUUAUAUAAAUGUGUGAACUGAAAUUCUUGCUGCUGACUGUACUCUACAUACAUGCUAAUGUUUAUAUUCAUGCCCCUUUCAGGGCCUCACAGCAACUACUACAGUAAAGAACAGUAGGUUUUUGGUUCAGUAGUGCUUACUUAAAGUGAUCGUUCACCCAAAAAAGAAAAUUGCCAUCUCAUGUCGUUCCAAAUCCAUAAGACUUUUGUUUAUCUUCAGAACAAAAAUUAAGACUUUUUUAAAAUGAAACCC